rnacentral:rRNA from 1 species
GACGAACGCUGGCGGCGUGCUUAACACAUGCAAGUCGAACGGAAAGGCCCUGCUUGCAGGGUACUCGAGUGGCGAACGGGUGAGUAACACGUGGGUGAUCUGCCCUGCACUUCGGGAUAAGCCUGGGAAACUGGGUCUAAUACCGGAUAGGAGCCAUUUUUAGUGUGAUGGUUGGAAAGUUUUUUCGGUGUAGGAUGAGCUCGCGGCCUAUCAGCUUGUUGGAGGGGUAAUGGCCUACCAAGGCGGCGACGGGUAGCCGGCCUGAGAGGGUGGACGGCCACAUUGGGACUGAGAUACGGCCCAGACUCCUACGGGAGGCAGCAGUGGGGAAUAUUGCACAAUGGGCGCAAGCCUGAUGCAGCGACGCCGCGUGGGGGAUGACGGCCUUCGGGUUGUAAACUCCUUUCGCUAGGGACGAAGCUUUUUGUGACGGUACCUAGAUAAGAAGCACCGGCUAACUACGUG